rnacentral:tRNA from 1 species
GUCCAGGGGCGGGAAUCGAACCCACACCCUUCUGCUUACCGGGCAGGUGCCUUUUCCACUCGGCUACCCUGGA